rnacentral:lncRNA from 1 species
CCCGCCCUUCCCUGCCCCGAGCCUUGGGCUCAGGUCCUGGCAGAAGACCCCACACACUUUGGCUGAAAUCACGGUCGCCCCACCAUUCCUUUUUUAUUGUUUUGGAGACAGGGUCUUGCUAAGUAGCCCAGGCUGGUCUUGAGCCCAUGAGGAUCCUCCUGCCUCAGCCUCCUGAGUGCUGCGAUGACAAUGUUUUGAACAGGUUCAGGACAUCAGGGCAGCCUCUCUGCCUGCCUGCCUGCCUCAGAAGUCUCCGGGGAGGCCUUGAUGGCAGGAAGACCUCUGGAAACACAGUGGACAGGCAUACAGGUGCCAGGUGACAGGUGGGGGACAAGGCAGACCGCCCUGAGAAGGCAGUGUGAACACAGAGCAGAGGAGAUGAUAGCUUGCCAGAUGGAAGUCCGAGAUAGAGCAUGCUGGGCACAGUAGGCACCGUGCAAAGGCCCUGGGGCAGGAGUACUCACUGCACCAUCGGAGCAACCAGGAGCCCAGGAGAGGUGGAGCCAUUGUAAGUACUUGAUUUAACUUGGGCUGAAAUAGGAAACCAUCAUGAGGGUUUUGCUUUGAAUGUUGGGAAUACAGCCAGGGCUUCCUACAUGCGCCGUUCCGCAUACCCCUGGCUACUGAGUCUCACCCAGAUCUAACUGUGAGAUUGCCACUUGUAACAAGGCCUUGGGUUUCCAGGGAAUUCUGCUGCUAGACACGGUUGCCAAGAAGGUUCUGGGGAUUUUGGUGAUGAAGAGAAAGAGAGAAGAAAUCAAAGACAGGGCUUGGCAGAGAGAGAUCUUAUGGCUCCGGGGAGUGGAGGCCGCUGAGGAAGAGGAACCUGACCUCCA